ACAGUGCAAUAGAUGCGUUUGGCUUGCAAGAAAUUCUAGAUAGGAGAGCUGAAAUUACAGAGAAAGAACAAAUGGGAUUACGAUUCGAGUCAAGGAUGAUCCGUCGUCCCCAAUUAUGGGACCAGAAAGAUGUGAUCGAUCCGUCCCCAAUUUUUGAUUUUACAAGGCAAUUGACUACAGUACAGGUCUGAGGUGCAGCAGAGAUUUCCAUGUCCAGCCACCCGGAAUGCGAUUGGUUUUGCAUUUGUCAAGUCAAUUAGAGUUUUUUGAUUGUUAAGGUUCUGAGAAGGAAUAUUAAAGGUAUGAACGAUUUCUGCUAUUUUUCCACAAAGCUAUUGGGAAUGUGAGCAUUUCACACUCAUGAGUCAAUGAGAGGAAGACUAAUGAAAAAUCAAAGAGGACCCCUUGUCUUUUUAAAAGUUUGUGUUGAUAGGGAGAAAAAAUACUUUUCUGAUGCUUGCCAACUUAAAAAAGAAAAAAGAAAAGAAAAAGGGUGAUAAUGGUGUCAUGGUAAUGCAUAUAGCUCACAUCAAAGUUAAAAGUAAGGGUGCUAUCUGUUGGGAAUUUUUUAAUAAAAAUCUAAUUCAAUUAUAUUAUAUUUAUGGUGAUUUAUUGUGACUAUUUUUUUCACUAUUUAAAUUGUAUUUAAGGCGGAUAUUUGUUCAACCAUAAAAUCGCAUGCGGAUAUUAGGCUGCGUACAUCUAUCAAUCCAAACUCUGCAUCCAUGAGAGUCUGGUGUAGUGAGUUAGCCUUUUUAGUUACACAUGAAUACUUCAUAUAUAAAGCCUCCACCAUCUUUCAGAGGACUAAAGUUUAUAUACUUCCCUAGCAACUUUGUAUUCUAUAUAUAUGUGUGUACGUAUCCAUUUAUCUGCUGUUAUUUCAUGUGUUUAUGAGUUAUGACCAAUGAGAAGUCUGAAUGUGCUGAAGAGAGGACAUGGCCUACAACCACUGGUUGUAUUUUGGACUUCGGAGUCGGAACUUCCAUCUCAAAGAGAGGAGCCUGUGAGCACUUGGUUUGUAUUUUGGAGUCGGUACUCCCCCCAUUACCUACACAUGGGAAGGAAGUUUGAAUUUUAGGACAGUGCACGUCUCAAUCUUAAAGGUCAAUUUCUUACCUUUAUCAAAUAUUUCUAUUUUUGUACUUCCGAAAAUAUAUAUAUAUAUAUAUAUAUAUAUAUAUAUGUCUAUUUUUGUGUUCUUUCAUUUUAGUUUGUUAUUAUUAUUUCCAUUAUUUUAUAAAUUGUGAACCUCGUUAAUUGUACCUCUGAAGUUCAAGUUCUCCUAAAAUCAUGUAUAUGAUACUCAUUCAAUUUAUAAUUGUACCUAAAUGUUACAUUCUUGUUAUUUGCACUUUUUAGGUUCAAUUAAUUUUUUGUCGUAAA